AGAGUUUGAUCCCUGGCUCAGGACGAACGCUGGCGGCGUGCCUAACACAUGCAAGUCGAGCGAGGGGAGUUCUUCGGAACGAACCUAGCGGCGGACGGGUGAGUAACACGUGGGUAACCUGCCUCAAAGAGGGGGAUAGCCUCCCGAAAGGGAGAUUAAUACCGCAUAAUCCAUUGUUUCCGCAUGGAGAUUAUGGUAAAGAUUUAUCGCUUUGAGAUGGACCCGCGGCGCAUUAGCUAGUUGGUGAGGUAAUGGCUCACCAAGGCGACGAUGCGUAGCCGACCUGAGAGGGUGAUCGGCCACAUUGGAACUGAGACACGGUCCAGACUCCUACGGGAGGCAGCAGUGGGGAAUAUUGCACAAUGGGCGAAAGCCUGAUGCAGCAACGCCGCGUGAGUGAUGAAGGUCUUCGGAUUGUAAAGCUCUGUCUUUUGGGACGAUAAUGACGGUACCAAAGGAGGAAGCCACGGCUAACUACGUGCCAGCAGCCGCGGUAAUACGUAGGUGGCAAGCGUUGUCCGGAUUUACUGGGCGUAAAGGGUGCGUAGGUGGAUAUUUAAGUCAGAUGUGAAACCCCUGGGCUCAACUCAGGGACUGCAUUUGAAACUGGAUAUCUGGAGUGCAGGAGAGGUAAGUGGAAUUCCUAGUGUAGCGGUGAAAUGCGUAGAGAUUAGGAAGAACACCAGUGGCGAAGGCGACUUACUGGACUGUAACUGACACUGAGGCACGAAAGCGUGGGUAGCAAACAGGAUUAGAUACCCUGGUAGUCCACGCCGUAAACGAUGAGUACUAGGUGUAGGGGGUAUCGACUCCCUCUGUGCCGCAGUUAACACAAUAAGUACUCCGCCUGGGAAGUACGAUCGCAAGAUUAAAACUCAAAGGAAUUGACGG
rnacentral:rRNA from 1 species